AACGAACGCUGGCGGCAUGCCUAACACAUGCAAGUCGAACGAGACCUUCGGGUCUAGUGGCGCACGGGUGCGUAACGCGUGGGAACCUGCCCUUAGGUUCGGAAUAACUCCCCGAAAGGGGUGCUAAUACCGGAUAAUGUCUUCGGACCAAAGAUUUAUCGCCUUUGGAUGGGCCCGCGUUGGAUUAGCUAGUUGGUAGGGUAAAAGCCUACCAAGGCGACGAUCCAUAGCUGGUCUGAGAGGAUGCUCAGCCACACUGGGACUGCGACACGGCCCAGACUCCUACGGGAGGCAGCAGUGGGGAAUAUUGGACGAUGGGCGCAGGCCUGAUCCAGCAAUGCCGCGUGAGUGAUGAAGGCCUUAGGGUUGUAAAGCUCUUUUACCCGGGAUGAUAAUGACAGUACCGGGAGAAUAAGCUCCGGCUAACUCCGUG
rnacentral:rRNA from 1 species